rnacentral:rRNA from 1 species
UACGGGGGGGGCAAGCGUUGUUCGGAAUUACUGGGCGUAAAGGGCGCGUAGGCGGUUAGCUAAGUUGAAUGUGAAAACUCUGGGCUUAACCCAGAGCCUGCAUUCAAUACUGGCGGGCUAGAGUUCUGGAGGGGAUAGCGGAAUUCCUGGUGUAGCGGUGAAAUGCGUAGAUAUCAGGAGGAACACCGGUGGCGAAGGCGGCUAUCUGGACAGAGUCUGACGCUGAGGCGCGAAAGCUAGGGGAGCAAACAGG